rnacentral:sRNA from 1 species
AAUUCUUCCACCCGGCACCGGCUCCGCAAUGAACAACUUCAGGUUCACUGAGCUGAGCGGAUUCCACUCGCUGUGCCCUCGGAGCCUGCCUGAAUCUCCCGCCCAGUCUCAAACCAGGCAGCCGAGUAACUGCAAGGGCGCCUUUGAGGAGUAGCACGCAGAGAGUGUCAAUGAAGACCUCAAAGUCUGGAGAAAAAUGACCUUUCAUGGAAUAAGAAGUAUACCUCCUUCUACAUGUUUUUGUCUUACUGACCUCUGAUAACUGAAACACAUGACUCUGGGUCUGUAGAAAGUCAACUGAUCAAACUCAUCCUCACCAUGCAUCAACUGUUCAGACUGGUUUUGGGACAAAAAGAUCUUUCACGAGCUGGGGACCUCUUCUCCUUAGAUGACUCUGAGAUUGAAGACAGCCUGACAGAAGCUUUGGAGCAAAUUAAGAUAAUUAGCUCAUCUUCAUCUGUGGAAAGGCAAGAGUGAAAUCACAAAGGCCAGUUAAGUGGCUACUGAAAUAAUUCAGAUAAGAAGCAGCAGAGUUUCUGACCAUCAUGGAGCAGUG